UACGUAGGGGGCUAGCGUUGUCCGGAUUUAUUGGGCGUAAAGAGCGUGUAGGCGGCCAGGUAGGUCUGCUGUGAAAACUCGAGGCUCAACCUCGAGACGUCGGCGGAAACCAUCUGGCUAGAGUCCGGAAGAGGAGAGUGGAAUUCCCGGUGUAGCGGUGAAAUGCGCAGAUAUCAGGAAGAACACCCGUGGCGAAGGCGGCUCUCUGGGACGGUACUGACGCUGAGACGCGAAAGCGUGGGGAGCAAACAGG
rnacentral:rRNA from 1 species